rnacentral:misc_RNA from 1 species
UCUCCGUUGGUGAACCAGCGGAGGGAUCAUUACUGAGUUACCGCUCUACAACCCUUUGUGAACAUACCUAACUGUUGCUUCGGCGGGCAGAGGUCCCUCGCGGAUCUCUCCCGGCAACGCCCUCACGGGCGGAGCGCCCGCCGGAGGAUACCAAACUCUAUUUUAACGACGUUUCUUCUGAGUGGCACAAACAAAUAAUUAAAACUUUUAACAACGGAUCUCUUGGUUCUG